UACGUAGGUGGCAAGCGUUGUCCGGAUUUACUGGGCGUAAAGAGCGCGCAGGCGGUCGUUCAAGUCGCGUGUGAAAGCCCCCGGCUCAACUGGGGAGGGUCACGCGAUACUGAUCGACUCGAAGGCAGGAGAGGGUAGUGGAAUUCCCGGUGUAGUGGUGAAAUGCGUAGAUAUCGGGAGGAACACCAGUGGCGAAGGCGACUACCUGGCCUGUUCUUGACGCUGAGGCGGCGAAAGCUAGGGGAGCAAACGGG
rnacentral:rRNA from 1 species